UCCGGUUACGCGGUGAUGUCAUACGUGGAGCCCGGUUACCUUCUUUACAAGCUAGUUUGCUCGUUGUCGUGGUUGGAACCGCACACUAGUAUCGAUCCGUUAAUUAAAUACAUUCUUACUAAUAUUUUGUGAUUUGGUGAACGCAGGGAGCGACCAUGGACGACGAUGUUUACCCCAGAACAUUGUACGUUGGAAAUCUGUCAAGGGAAGUAACAGAAAGUCUGAUUCUCCAGCUGUUCACCCAGAUAGGCCCUUGCAAAAGUUGUAAAAUGAUCACUGAGCACACAAGCAACGACCCCUAUUGUUUUGUGGAGUUCUUUGAGCACAGACAUGCUGCAACAGCCCUUGGUGCCAUCGAUAAGAGGAAAAUAUACGGGAAGGAGGUCAAAGUAAAUUGGGCAACCACUCCCAGUAGCCAGAAGAAAGAUACAUCCAGUCACUUCCAUGUUUUUGUGGGUGAUCUGAGCCCUGAGAUUACCACAGAGAGUAUAAGGUCUGCUUUUGCACCUUUUGGGCAUAUCUCGGAUGCUCGUGUUGUGAAGGACAUGGCGACAAACAAAUCAAAGGGGUAUGGAUUUGUGUCCUUCUACAACAAACUGGAUGCAGAGAAUGCCAUUUCCCACAUGGCCGGGCAGUGGCUUGGAGCACGACAAAUAAGGACCAACUGGGCAACACGUAAACCACCAGCUCCAAAGAGUUCCCAGGAGACAAGUAGUUCAAAACAGCUGAAGUUUGAAGAUGUAGUGACUCAGUCCAGUCCACAAAAUUGCACAGUAUACUGUGGUGGGAUCCAGUCAGGGCUGUCAGAACAUCUUAUGCGGCAGACAUUCUCUCCUUUUGGUCAAAUAAUGGAAAUCAGAGUUUUUCCAGAGAAAGGAUACUCUUUCAUCAGAUUUGCCACUCAUGACAUUGCUGCCCACGCCAUUGUUUCCGUCAAUGGUACUUCUAUUGAAGGCAAUUUAGUGAAGUGCUACUGGGGAAAAGAAUCAUCUGAUAUGGGAAAAGUUCCACAGCAGACGGAGUUCAAUCAGUGGGGCCAGUGGAACCCUUUCUAUGACAGUCCACAGCAACAACAGCAGCAGCCACAGCAGCAGCAGCAUUACGGUCAAUAUGUGACCAAUGGAUGGCAAGUUCCCUCUUACAACAUGUACAGCCAAGCAUGGAACCAACAAGGAUAUGGAGUAGAGCAAUCCCAGUCAUCAGCCUGGAUGGGAAGCUUUGGAAACCCAUCAGCCCAUGCUGCAACCCCACCUGGUUCUGUAAUGUCCAAUCCAGCCAACUUCAGCAUGGCUGGGUAUCAGACACAGUGAGCUGGUCUUCGCCUCUGCAGGAAGCUCUGGAGAAUAAAUGACACCCAUUACAUCACACAGCAUCCUCAAGUGAACAGCUUUGGUAAAACAGCAGGGGGGGCAUAUUCACAAAGCCUUUGUAGAAGAAUGAAGCUGCUGUUCAACAAGCUUGUUUGAUUACAUCACUAUCUGAGAGGCACAGUAAUGGAGCCUAGUGAGCAUUCCUGAAAUGUACACAGUAUUUACAUCGAACUACAGAAUACAUGACUUCAACUGAAUGGCAGCGUGAGUUAAGUGCUGAAGUAUUUUGUAUUUUAUUGUUGAUAUGACUGAGUAAUUGUCACAGUAAUAGAACAGUAAGAUAACAACAUCCAUCUGUGUUUAACUUUUGACAUUCUCCUGUGUCAGCUGAUGUCCACAGUGCUGUGAUAGUUGUGUGUCUCACAUUGUCACAUGUGACAGUCAACAUUGGUGGGAACCUCUGGUCUCCUGAAGGAGAGAUUGCUCCUGGUGCCUCUGUCCACACAAACCAGGAUGCUCCCGUCUGAGGCAGUGUCAUCAUCCUGGUUGGGGGUGAAAAGGAGUUUCUCCACAAUCAGAUCAAUCCUCUGUGUGAUGCCUGUCAUGGAGCUCUCCAGAUGGAGGACCUGUCUGGACAGCCUUGAAUGACAAAAGAAAAAGACAGGUGAGCUCAUGGUUUAUUGAAAAACUAAAUAUUGUAUUAUCUUUCAAAUAUUAAAAAUAUUGCCAACUUUAAAAACUGCUCCCGGUUCACAAAGAUUUGACCGGUGUGCCUCUGCUCGUUGGAGUUUUUGGCCGGUUUCUCAAGUAAGUCUUUCUCAUAGUUCUUCCCCAGUUUGUUCAGUUCAGCACUCAGAGCAUCCUGACAGACACAGACAAAUGAAUUAGUUUCAGGGUCGGAUUUAAACCAGUGGUAAUGGCUCUAAGAAAGUUUAGCUUUUUAUAAAAUGUCAUACAAAUUAUAUAAAUGAAAGGUUUAUCUGACUACUUAGAAUUAAUUAUUUAUCACAGAUCUGUUGUGAUGUUUUUUCUUUUAUAUACAUAUAUUAUAAUGUAUAAAGUAAUUCAAAUUAAACCUUUUUGAAGCUCAGCUAUUAUUGGCUUCUAUGAGUCAAAACAUUUUUUUUUGACCGGGGCAUUAGACUGCAUCAAAAACAUCAAGUCCAUGAAGGUUUUGUCUUGCAGCCUGUUUUGUGGUGUUAGCAUGGUCCAACUGAAGUGGUGUUUGUAUAAUGUGAAUAAACCAUUCUACAUUAACAGAUAAUUUAUAUUAAAAUAACCACUUAUUUUCCCUUUUUCACAGACCAGCCACCACAUCUGGGUCAAACAAUCUACUGCCACAAACCCUCUUUUCCUCCAGCUCCAUUUUCAUUCUCUGUUGUUCGUCUUUGUCCAAAAUCUGGUUCCCGUCAUGGUCAAACUGUGAGAAAGCUGCAGAAAUCUCAUGAUCAGCAUGUCCCAUCCUGUGAGAGUAGCAGAGCAGAGCUAAUUACUUUGGACUCUUCAACUACAAAGGCCAUGUUUGGACUGUCACUUACUCUUUCAGAGUUUCUCUGAAGUCCUUGAAUUCAAUCUCUCCAGAUCCAGAAUGUAAGGCUUUCUGGACAUCAGAUAUUUUCUCCUUUUUGAGUUUCAACUUCAUGAAGGUCUUCAUGUAGCUCUGAACCAUUUAAGUAACAAUUCUUCAGUUUGUAGUUUGGUAAAAGAGUAAAAAUAACUGUUGAAUUAUUGUCUUCACCUGUUUGAUGAUGUCUGUGAUCUGUAGCUCAUCCUUCUGCGAUGAGAGCUCCUCCUUGACCUCAGAGUACGUGUCAUUUAUGAUGGCUAAAAACAUGUUCUGAGACCAAAACCAUGCAGUGAGACAAGCCUUUGUCCACCUUGUAUAUCAUUUGUUAAAGAAGACUGACUUACCAACAAGACAAAGAAGACAAAGAACACGUAGGUGACAAAGUAUAUCGGUCCAAGAACUCUGUUAGCACGGUCGAUAGCGUCAUAAUCAAAGUCUCCCAGAAUAAUCCUGAACUGGGUGAAGCUGUGGAAUGGAAAUGUCAAAAUUGAGUUUAUUUUUAAAUACAUUUAUAUUUAAAGAAA